AGUGAACGCUGGCGGUAGGCCUAACACAUGCAAGUCGAACGGCAGCACAGGAGAGCUUGCUCUCUGGGUGGCGAGUGGCGGACGGGUGAGGAAUACAUCGGAAUCUACUCUGUCGUGGGGGAUAACGUAGGGAAACUUACGCUAAUACCGCAUACGACCUACGGGUGAAAGCAGGGGACCUUCGGGCCUUGCGCGAUUGAAUGAGCCGAUGUCGGAUUAGCUAGUUGGGGGGGAAAAGGCCCACAAAGGCGACGAUCCGUAGCUGGUCUGAGGGGAUGAUCCGCCACACUGGAACUGAGACACGGUCAAGACUCCUACGGGAGGCAGCGGUGGGGAUUAUUGGAAAAUGGGCGCAAGCCUGAUCCAGCCAUACCGCGUGGGUGAAGAAGGCCUUCGGGUUGUAAAGCCUUUUUGUUGGAAAAAAAAUCCAGCUGGCUAAUACCCGGUUGGGAUGACGGUACCAAAAGAAUAAGCACCGGCUAACUUCGUGCCAGCAGCCGCCGUAA
rnacentral:rRNA from 1 species